rnacentral:misc_RNA from 1 species
CUUGCUAUUUCAUAUCAUAAUAUGAUCUCUUCCUUUUUCUGUGUUCUCGUGAUUACAUGAGCUAGAAAUUCCGUACACUAUAUUUCACAAGCUUUACAGAAACAGUCAGCCUUCAUUACUUGAUCAAAUCAUUGGUGUAGCCCUUUCUGGGUGAUAUUUAAUUUAUACAUGGAGAACUUGGGAGAUUGGGAGCAAAAGAAUCUUCUAAACGAGCUAACGCUAGGGAGAGAGCUAGCAAGGCAGCUCCAAAUCCAUCUCAACGUGCCAUCUUCUUCCCGAGAAACCCGUGAAAUGUUGGUCCAGAAGAUCAUAGCUUCCUAUGAAAAGGCACUUUCGACGCUAAAUUUGAGCAGCUCAAUAAGAGAGCCAAAUCCCACAGGAUCGGUCGCCAUGUCUCAUGAGUCGCCGCCAUCUCUAAGUGGAAGUCCCCGGAGUGAAGACUCUGACCGGGACUUCAAGGACCACGACCCUAAAGAUGGGUCUAGGAAGAGGAAGGGAACGCCAAGGUGGACACAACAAGUGCGAGUUAGCCCAGGGAUGGGGCUAGAAGGGCCUCUUGAUGAUGGCUUUAGCUGGAGAAAGUAUGGCCAGAAAGACAUACUUGGAGCUAAAUAUCCAAGGGGCUACUAUAGAUGCACUCAUCGAAUUGUCCAAGGCUGUUUAGCAACAAAGCAAGUACAACGAUCCGAUGAGGACCCUACCAUCUUCGAGAUUACCUACCGUGGAAGGCACACUUGUACCCAAGCCACCCAUAUGUUCCCUCCUACCCAGCCCACUCGAGAAUCAAGAGCCAAACAGUGGCAUGGAGCAGCCCCAGCAACCCCAGGGAAAUCAACAACCACCGCAAGAUCUCCUCUUGAACUUUCGUUCGGGCCUUAAAGUCAUAACCGAAGGAUUGGACUCGCGCGAGCGAUCAGUUGCUCCCUCCCACUUUCCUUCUACAUCAAAUGUUACGGCUGAAAAUCAAGUGUUUUCACCUUCUAUGGUGGAUAAGAGCUUCAUGGGGAAUUAUUCUACAUCCUUCGUAUCUCCUUCGACGUCUGGGACAAACUACUUCUCUGCUACUUCAAGCGGAAUACAGCAUUACGUGGGUGGGAAUCAGAAUUUUCGGACUUCUGAGUUUGAGCUGACUGACUUAAUCUCUGCUACCACUACUUCAACUACAGACUCUACCACUGUUGGUUUGGAUUUCCCAUUUGGCAAUGUAGAAUUUGAUCCAAACUUCACAUUUGACAACUCAGGAUUCCUUCCCUAGUUGCAUGCACAGCUUCAGAAUCAAAUAAAGUGAAGAAAGCAGAAGCAUCACUUUGUCCUUACUAAAGAUAUAGAUAAGUUAAAUUUUUAGGCCAAGAAAAUUUUGCUUGGUCUUUUAAAUCUUUCCAUGUUAACCCCUUAAAGAAAUUAAUCGUCAAUGGGUGCCAGUUAUAGUACUUGUAUUUGUUUUCGUCCCUUAUGUACGUGAAUGGUGAAGGUCCUAUACAAAGAGUGUC